GAACCUUACCUGGGCUCGAAAUGUAGUGGACCGCGGUAGAAAUAUCGCUUCCUAGCAAUAGGCCGCUAUAUAGGUGCUGCAUGGCUGUCGUCAGCUCGUGUCGUGAGAUGUUGGGUUAAGUCCCGCAACGAGCGCAACCCUUAUUACCAGUUGCUACCAUUUAGUUGAGCACUCUGGUGAGACCGCCUCGGAUAACGGGGAGGAAGGCGGGGAUGACGUCAAGUCCUCAUGGCCUUUAUGUCCAGGGCUACACACGUGCUACAAUGGCCGGUACAAACCGUCGCAAACCCGUGAGGGGGAGCUAAUCGGAAAAAGCCGGCCUCAGUUCGGAUUGGAGUCUGCAACUCGACUCCAUGAAGCUGGAAUCGCUAGUAAUCGCAGAUCAGAACGCUGCGGUGAAUACGUUCCCGGGCCUUGUCACACCGA
rnacentral:rRNA from 1 species